rnacentral:rRNA from 1 species
AGAGAAUAGAUACCCUGGUAGUCCACGCCCUAAACGAUGUCAACUAGGUGUUGGAGGAGCAAAUCCUUUGGUACCGCAGCUAAACGCGUGAAGUUGACCGCCUGGGGAGUACGGUCGCAAGAUUAAAACUCAAAGGAAUUGACGGGGACCCGCACAAGCGGUGGAUGAUGUGGAUUAAUUCGAUGCAACGCGAACAACCUUACCUACCCUUGACAUGUCUGGAAUCCUGCUGAAAGGCGGGAGUGCCCGAAAGGGAACCGGAACACAGGUGCUGCAUGGCUGUCGUCAGCUCGUGUCGUGAGAUGUUGGGUUAAGUCCCGCAACGAGCGCAACCCUUGUCCUUAGUUGCUACGCAAGGGCACUCUAAGGAGACUGCCGGUGACAAACCGGAGGAAGGUGGGGAUGACGUCAAGUCCUCAUGGCCCUUAUGGGUAGGGCUUCACACGUCAUACAAUGGUCGGUACAGAGGGUUGCCAACCCGCGAGGGGGAGCCAAUCCCAGAAAGCCGAUCGUAGUCCGGAUCGCAGUCUGCAACUCGACUGC